GACUCAUGAUUCCUGUCAGAGCUGACUGUCUUCUUCUUUUAUGUCUAAACACCAGGUGACAUCCAAGCAGGCUCCAGCAACAGAAGAAGAGAUGGCUGUGACUCCUGUUGAUCUGUCCUCCAAGGUUUAUGGUGAAGAUGAUUGUGAUGAUGCUGCUGCUGAAGAUGGUGGUCCAACGGUGACAUCCAAGCAGGCUCCAGCAACAGAAGAAGAGAUGGCUGUGACUCCUGUUGAUCUGUCCUCCAAGGUUUAUGGUGAAGAUGAUGAUGAUGAUGAUGCUGCUGCUGAAGAUGGUGGUCCAACGGUGACAUCCAAGCAGGCUCCAGCAACAGAAGAAGAGAUGGCUGUGACUCCUGUUGAUCUGUCCUCCAAGGUUUAUGGUGAAGAUGAUGAUGAUGAUG
rnacentral:lncRNA from 1 species